AGUAUGAUUACACCUCUAAGAAUGUAUGUCAUCAUGAAAAGCCCAACGGUCCAGCUGCCUUGCUCCCAUCAGGCUCCCGUAGUGUUUUGAUGGGCAAAGGACAGCUGACACCAGGUGAUGUCCCAGGUCUGUGCUUCUUGGUGAGCCUGGGGAGGACAUGUGGUUGACAUCCUACAGCCAAUCUCAAAGGGACAUGGUUGCUGUGAGUAAGGUAUCUGAGGCUCGGAUCUGACUCUCAAGCUGAGACC